CAACCCGGGCGAUGGUUGUCCCGGGGCAAGUGCGUAGGCCGAGAGAUAGGCAAAUCCGUCUCUCACAUAGGCUGAGACACGAUGCGGAUAAAAAGUGGGUGAUCCUAUGCUGCCAAGAAAAGCAUCGACGUGAGGUUCUAGCUGCCCGUACCCCAAACCGACACAGGUGAUCUGGUAGAGAAUACCGAGGCGAUCGAGAGAAUCAUGGUGAAGGAACUCGGC
rnacentral:rRNA from 1 species